GACGAACCGUGCGAACGUUGUUCGGAUUCACUGGGCUUAAAGGGCGCGUAGGCGGGUUGUCAAGUCGGGGGUGAAAUCUUUCAGCUUAACUGGAAAAGUGCCUCUGAUACUGAUGAUCUCGAGGGAGGUAGGGGCAUGUGGAACUUCCGGUGGAGCGGUGAAAUGCGUAGAUAUCGGAAGGAACGCCGGUGGCGAAAGCGACGUGCUGGACCUCUUCUGACGCUGAGGCGCGAAAGCUAGGGGAGCGAACGGG
rnacentral:rRNA from 1 species